rnacentral:rRNA from 1 species
GAUGAACGCUAGCUACAGGCUUAACACAUGCAAGUCGAGGGGUAACAUUAAGUUAGCUUGCUAACUUAGAUGACGACCGGCGCACGGGUGAGUAACGCGUAUCCAACCUGCCCCAUACCAGGGAAUAGCCUUUCGAAAGAAAGAGUAAUGCCCUAUGUUAUCCCAUGCAGACAUCCAAAUGGGAUCAAAGAUUCAUCGGUACGGGAUGGGGAUGCGUCUGAUUAGGUUGUUGGCGGGGUAACGGCCCACCAAACCGACGAUCAGUAGGGGUUCUGAGAGGAAGGUCCCCCACAUUGGAACUGAGACACGGUCCAAACUCCUACGGGAGGCAGCAGUGAGGAAUAUUGGUCAAUGGCCGAGAGGCUGAACCAGCCAAGUAGCGUGAGGGAUGACGGCCCUAUGGGUUGUAAACCUCUUUUAUACGGGGAUAAAGUGAGCCACGUGUGGUUCAUUGCAGGUACCGUACGAAUAAGGACCGGCUAAUUCCGUGC